rnacentral:lncRNA from 1 species
AAUUAAUGUUAGUCACUGUUGUCUUUUUUGUUUUUGUUUUUUUUUUUUUUUUUUGAGGCGGAGUCUCGCUCUUUCGCCCAGGCCGGACUGCAGUGGCGCUAUCUCGGCUCACUGCAAGCUCCGCCUCCCGGGUUGACGCCAUUCUCCUGCCUCAGCCUCCUGAGUAGUUGGGAUUACAGGCGCCCGCCACCGCGCCUGGCUAAUUUUUUGUAUGUUUAGUAGAGACGGGGUUUCACCGUGUUAGCCAAGAUGGUCUCGAUCUCCUGACCUCGUGAUCCGCCUGCCUCGGCCUCCGGCCUCCCAAAGUGCUGGGAUUACAGGCGUGAGCCACCGCGCCCGGCCCUCACUGUUGUCUUUUAAGUAGUGAAACAGGAAUGUCUCUCUGAUCAGAAAGCACAAUUAAGAUUCUGCAGAAAAGGAAAUCCAGCUCGGUGCCACCAAUCUGUACUAGGAAUGAAGAUUUGUUACCUGUCCUGCUGACGUCAGACCCAGCACCAGGUGCAGAAGCAACCAUCAUACAAAAAUCAAGCUUCCUUAAUUAUCCUCUGAAGAGUCCCUACCAGCAAGAAGGCUCUCACCAGACGUGGCCCUUUGACCUUGGAUUUCUCAGCCUUCAAAACUCUUGAGAUGCCCGAUCCCAGGCUCACCGAAGCGAGGUGAUACCAGACUCUCCCAGGCUCACCCAGGACAUGGUUUUCAUGUAGUGCAGUGUAGCAGGGACAAUUGGUCGUUAUGUGGCAGUCAGACAGCAUAGAGCAGGAGGUCUACAUCUUUCCUGCGACAAGCCUUCAGAGACUCUUCUUAUGUCUGAAGAAGUAUCUGUUUCAAGUUGUUUAAGCUUAGUGAGAUGGACUUUUUUGCUAAAGAGUUCCAGUGGUACAGAAAUCAGGAACAGAGAAGAG